CAUCUCUUUAUCUCUUUGACCAGCCAAGCUCCUUACUUCUCCUCACUUAUCCUUUCUUUCUUUUUCUUAUUUUUCAUUUUUCGUCUAACACUCCUCUUCACUCUCAUCCUUUCCACCGGUACUUCCAUACCACCACCACCUUUUCCACACCAUUUUUCCGGCAAGAUCACAAGCCUCUUCACAUCUUUUAUUUGAGUUAAACAUUUCUAAUAUUUUGGUUCUAGCUAAUCUUCUUGGAGCUUGGAGAAUUAGGCUUUUGCGGUUGUGAGCUAUAUCUUGAGCAUGGAGCUUACUUCUUUGGUGAUGAUUAGAGUGCAAUGUUAAAUUUGGAGACUUUUGCUGUAAAUGGUUGGUGACUCGAUCUUGUUAUAUUCAAUGAGACCUUAAUUAAUUCUAUUGGAGGUGGGUCGCUUGAGGUUUGUAAGCCUUUGGCGUGGUAGGCCUAGACACGAUGUUAAGGUUCUUAUUCUUGAUAAGAUUGUGACUUUGUGUAAUUUAAUCAGAGUUUUGUAAUAUAUUCAUAUAUUAUGUGAAGGCACAUGAUUUUUAGUUAUUGUUCAUAAAUGUGUUAUAGAGCCCUAACUUGUAAUGUGGAGAUUUUAGUAUAGUUAUAUA